UGUGGCUCUUGCAGAUUCAUAGAGAAUACUACCUUAUUGGUCUUGGGUAAGAUCUGAGAGAAUUCCAUGGAAUUACAGGCAGAGUCUCUUGUUAUCUUCCCUUACUUUCCCCCAAACUAGCAAAGUCUCUUUCUCUGUGUUGAGGUGCCUGGAGUUGGGGGAGGGGUGUCCUGUGACCAUUAUUGCUGGCACUGUUCUAGGUUACACAUGAAGGUCUUGGCCAUGGCCUGUGAUGACUAUUUCCUGUCUACCACUGAAGUUUAUUCAAAGCCCAAGGACUCUUUAGUCAGGAGCUGGUGAAUCCUGCCAGGUCUAUGUCUCUCCCUUCAAGGCAGCAGGUUCCCUUCUGGCCCAGGGUGUCUAGAAAUGCUCUCCAGGAGCUAGGGGCUGGAAUCAGGAGCUUUAGGUAUCUGCUUGAUUAUACUGUGGCUGAGCUGGUACCCAACUUGCAAGACAAAGUCCCUUUUACUCUUUCCUCUCCUUUUCUCAAGCAGAAGGGGCCUCCCUGCAAGGUCACCAGAGCUGGUUAUGUGCUGGCCUCGCCUGAAAGCAGCACAGUACUGGAUCUUACCCCCUGUUUGUGGCACAUAUUAAGCCUAGAAUGUGCUAGCCAAUGUGGUACUGGACUGACGUGGCUCAUGGAUCUCAUGGUGGGAACUACAUAGAGUGGACUUAUGAGAAAAGCCAGCUGGGGCUCCAGGAGCAUCACGGAGCAAAGAGAGAUCAUUAUCGUUCUGGGGAAUCCAGCUGCCAUGGUGAGUAGCACUACAGAGAGGCCCAUGCAGCAAAGAAUUGAAACCUCUAAACAAUAGCCAUACUUCCGGUUGUCUAACCCAAAUGCCAAUUUUAUAUGGGCACCCUGCCACUCUUCUAAAAGACUACAUUUUGCAGGCAAUUUUGCAACCAGGUAACUUCAUUCUGGUCAAUGAGAUUUAAGCAAAGUGUUUUGUGGGACUUCAGGAAAGCCUCCUUAAAUGGGAAAAGGAAAGAAGAUUCAAGGAGGAACUGAAAUACAGAGAGGCUCCUUUGCAAACCAGUAUCAAACAGAUCCCAGUCACUUGUAACAUCUGCCCUACCAUUGGAAUAACAUAAUGAGAGGCCUGGGCAACCCAGAGAGAAGUGUAAAUGACAUCAGUUACUAAUAAGAACACUGCUGAAUUUUGAAAAACUUUUGCAUGCUUUAAUUUCUCCAUAUUUUAAGUAAUUAUACUAAUUAUGAGAGUGCUGUGUAUUAUUAGUUGUUUGGUCACAAAUAAAAACAAAAGUCAUUUCAAAUAUA